AACGAACGUUGGCGGCGUGGAUUAGGCAUGCAAGUCGAACGAAUCCCUGGGGGCUUGCUCUCAGGGGAAAGUGGCGAAAGGGGCAGUAAGGCGUGGGUAACCUACCCUGGGGACCGGGAUAGCCAUCCUAACGGAUGGGUAAUACCGGGCGACGUAGCUGAGGGGCAUCUCCUGGCUACCAAAUGAAUUUCGCCCUGGGAGGGGCUCACGUGGUAUUAGCUAGUUGGUAGGGUAACGGCCUACCAAGGCGAAGAUGCCUAGCUGGUGUGAGAGCACGACCAGCGCCACUGGCACUGCGACACUGGCCAGACUCCUACGGGAGGCUGCAGUCGAGGAUCUUCCGCAAUGGGCGAAAGCCUGACGGAGCGACGCCGCGUGGGUGAUGAAGGCCUUCGGGUUGUAAAGCCCUUUUACGGGGGAGGAAAGCGCAAGCUUGACUGUACCCCGGGAAUAAGCUCGGGCUAAGUUCGUGCCAGCCGCCGCCGUAACAC
rnacentral:rRNA from 1 species